rnacentral:rRNA from 1 species
AUUGAACGCUGGCGGCAUGCCUUACACAUGCAAGUCGAACGGUAACGGGCCUUCGGGUGCCGACGAGUGGCGAACGGGUGAGUAAUACAUCGGAACGUGCCCGAUCGUGGGGGAUAACGAGGCGAAAGCUUUGCUAAUACCGCAUACGAUCUACGGAUGAAAGCAGGGGACCGCAAGGCCUUGCGCGGACGGAGCGGCCGAUGGCAGGUUAGGUAGUUGGUGGGAUAAAAGCUUACCAAGCCGACGAUCUGUAGCUGGUCUGAGAGGAUGAUCAGCCACGCUGGGACUGAGACACGGCCCAGACUCCUACGGGAGGCAGCAGUGGGGAAUUUUGGACAAAGGGCGCAAGCCUGAUCCAGCCAUGCCGCGUGCAGGAUGAAGGCCUUCGGGUUGUAAACUGCUUUUGUACGGAACGAAAAGCCUUCUUUUAAUACAGGAGGGUCAUGACGGUACCGUAAGAAUAAGCACCGGCUAACUACGUG